GACGAACGCUGGCGGCGUGCUUAACACAUGCAAGUCGAACGGAAAGGCCCUGCUUUUGUGGGGUGCUCGAGUGGCGAACGGGUGAGUAACACGUGAGUAACCUGCCCUUGACUUUGGGAUAACUUCAGGAAACUGGGGCUAAUACCGGAUAGGAGCUCCUGCUGCAUGGUGGGGGUUGGAAAGUUUCGGCGGUUGGGGAUGGACUCGCGGCUUAUCAGCUUGUUGGUGGGGUAGUGGCUUACCAAGGCUUUGACGGGUAGCCGGCCUGAGAGGGUGACCGGCCACAUGGGGACUGAGGUACGGCCCAGAAGCCUACGGGAGGCAGAAGUGGGGAAUAUUGCACAAUGGGCGGAAGCCUGAUGCAGCAACGCCGCGUGCGGGAUGACGGCCUUCGGGUUGUAAACCGCUUUCGCCUGUGACGAAGCGUGAGUGACGGUAAUGGGUAAAGAAGCACCGGCUAACUACGUG
rnacentral:rRNA from 1 species